GCAAAAUAUCUCGCGAGCCCUGGGCGCCUUUAGUUUCCCUUUCUCUAUCCAAUCUCCAUCGACCUACUACAACCGCCGCCUCCUCCUCGAUCCAUGUGCUCUCCCUUUGCCGCCGCCACCGGAGAGGCUUGCCUCCGCGGCCGCACGCCUUAGAUCCGAUGGAAGGAAAAGGAGGAAGAGGCCCGCACUGUCCUGUUCUCCGAGGUGGUGGAGGAGCAUCCGAGGGCGAUGACGGCGUCCUUGGCCGAGCACACGGACGAAAGGGGGGAGAGGGGUGUAGCCGCUCGUGGGGAUCAAGGGGAAGGAGAAAGGUGAUGAUGAUGCCGGCUACUUGGGGAAGGGGAUGCGGGCGACCUGGGGUGAGUCAAGCGACCUGAGGCGAGGACGGUGGCGACCUAUGGAAGGAAUGGGACGCCGGUGACCUUGGGAAGGAAGGGGAGGCCGGCGAAUUGGGGUAGGGGAUGCGGGUGACCUGGGGAACGGCGGCUGGGAGCUGCUCAGCCCGUCGUCGCUGUCGGCCGCCGGCGACCACCACCCGUUUCUUGGAGGAUGAGGGGAAUGGAGAAAGAGGAGUAGUAUCAGGAAGGAGUUUUGGGCGAUGGGCAGCCGCGCCAGGAGACAUGCUCGCGGUGCCGCUUGGUGGUGAGAUGAGGCUGCCCCAUGCUCUGUUCCGAUGGGCCUCCUCUGCUCGAUGGUUGCACUGGUUGAGUUUGGUACGGUUCCUGUUGUCGGCUGCGUCGAGCCUUGGGUCUUGUCUGUCCUUCGCGUUGAGAUAAAUAGCACAGAAAACAUAUCAGUGCUCUAUCUGUGUCUAAGGGCUCCAAGAGAUGCAGUCAUAGAUAGUGACUGGUCCCUGAAGUUUGGGACGUUAAGGAUAAAAUCAAGCAGUUUUCAGAAACUUUUAGUUGUGGCUCAUGGGUUGGAGCAACUGGGAAACCAUUGACAAAUGUGGUCUCAGUUGGAGUUGGUGGUAGCUUCCUUGGACCUCUGUUUGUGGAUGUAGCUCUCCAGAUUGGUUGGAGGCAUUGGUGUGAGGGCGUUGUGGUGACGUGCUCCUCCAUGCCUCAUGCGAGUUCUUGGUGUCGCGAUCAUGUCUCCAGAGAGCAGUGCUUCAAGGUCACUUAAGCUUGAAUGGGUUAUCAAGUCUACUGGAACCAUUCAUGUUAGCCUUGUUCAUUGGUUUUAGGACAGACGCUCCCUUAAGUAUGUUUAAUCACAAUUAAAAGAAGGAAGCCAAAUUAUUGCAAUGUGUGGCUGCAGGUAAAGUUGUCAAGUUGAUCUGGUGCUUGCUUGAGCCAUUGAUUACUGCUGCUUUGCUAAGGUUCAAUGUCUUACUACAUGAGAAAUUUAUUCCAAUGCUUUCUCAAUCCCUUUACCAUGAUGACUACCAGAGGAACCUUCAAUGUGUAUAGAUGGUGAUGGAUAUGGGGACACACAAGAACUAGCAAACUUAAUACCAGAUGCCCUCAACUAUGAAUUCUUUAAUUAUUGGAGGCUUUCAUAUUCAUAUCAAUACAAGGUGGAAUAUGAUGCAGGUGAAUGCCUUUAUUUUGUUUCUUUAUGAUAUUCUCCUCUACUUAAUGAUAGAUGCAGUGCAUAGGGUCAUCGUGUCAGUUUGAAUGCUUUCAUGACAACCGGUAUAGCACUGAAUCAGGCAAGGUGUGAAUAAGUGUGCUUAAAUGCGUGCUUUGUUUAUGUGUUUACUGCUUAUUAUGUCAUACAGGUUGCCACUUAUGAAUCUGCCCUCUUUUAGGCACGUGUCUUUCCCACAUAUAUGUUGGUAAAUGUGUGCACGACAUAUUUUUCUGGCCAACUAGAUUACGAGAUCCUCCGCCAUCUUCCCCUCCUCACUAAGGAUGCCAGAUUGGUCUAGCAUCUUCCCCCCUAUUUAGGGGUCCUCACUUGGCCCCUCCUCUACUCGGCUCUCCUUUGCCCUGUUUCUCCUCUAUAAAAAACACGAAAACUACCACGAGAAUUAAUUGCUGCUUGCUGCUCUUCACAGCUAAAUAUCACAAUGAAGUCUAUCAAUUGCCAUCGUCCUAGAAGAAGAAGAGAUGAGCAGUCAAUAUACAGAGAAAAAAAUCACGACCAAUAUUUGCAUGAAUACUAAUUCUCACAACAAGUUAAUGAUUCAUAAAUAAUCUCCCGUUUCCUCUAACCUCUGUAUGUCUUUCUGUUGGGGAAACUGAUCCACGAACACCUAUGGGACCGGCGGACCGAGUCCCUUUCGGUUCGGCGGGGGGCGGAGAUCGCACGAAGAGCAGAUCGAGGCGAAGCACACAAGCAGUUUACCCAGCUUCGGAGCUCUCCGGAGAGAUAACACUCCUACUGCUGCAUGUCUGAGUGUAUUGAGUUCUUGCUUGGGAGCGCUGAGUGCUACAGUACACAC